UAUCCGGUCAAUAAAAACAAAAAAAUCCUGUCGUUAUUUCCAACACAUGAAUAAAAAAAGAGCGCCAGGCUUCUUUACGUUUCCCACAUUUUUUUCUAAAAUGCUUCUGCCCCUUCUACGCCAAAAUCCCUAACUGCCACCUCCCAUCUCUUUUAGGUCCUGAUACCUUGCACUUCAGUAUUUCAAAUCCAACUCCAAAAUCGGAGGAAGCUCACACGGUUUUGGUGAAGAUUAUUAUGUAUGACAGAGGCAUGUCUAAGGGCCUUUAGUUUUCCUUCUCUGGGCUAAGGGCGCUACCAAAUAAACGAGAUAUGUUCGUUUUUUUGCUAGUUUUUGGUUAAUUCUUCACUAUCUGAAUGAAUUAGUGUUUGUAUAUCUGUGAGAAGUUGUGGCUCUUCCUCUAAUGUCACGUUAUUCAGGUUUGUUAAAGUUGAUAAUUUUGCCCUAGUGUGAAAUGGAUUGGGUUUUGUUUAAUUGAACUAUUUCAGUCUGAUGAUUUGUUUUUGUAUGUGUGUUUAUUGUCCAAUUUGAGGCUAAUUCUCGGUUCUGUGUAUUUGUUGUACGCUGUGGAAAAUUUUAAUUUUUUCCUUUUGGAAUUUGGUAUGCUAAAUAUUUUUUCUAGAAAUAGUGGAGUAUGCAUGUCUGCAGAUGCAUUUGCCUUAAAGUGCAGAAUAGUGAAUUGUGAGGGUUGUCUUCUAAGUUCAUUCAUCUUUAAUUUGUGAAGAAAGGACUGUACAUUUAUGCGCUCAAAUCUCUUUACUUUACUCGAAUAUCAUAAUGCCUUAAAUCCUGGGCGCUUUCCAAUUUUGCGAAACAGUAGAUUGAUAGAUAUCUCAUAUUAUUUUAAAAAAUGAAGAUUUUCAUGAUAUUCUUUGGAUAAGUAACUGAAAUUUCUUUUGAAUUAAUAUGGAAAAUUUUGUUCUUAACCUCUGUGUGGUUCUAUAAAUCUAUUAUAUUUGAAUGAAUGAGAAGUCUGGGAAAGACCCCAAGAGGGUUAUGAGCUGUAUUUACCAUCCGCAACCAAAAUUGAGUGUCAAUAUAUUAAGCCUUUGAAAGCUAUUAGAUAGCCUCUUUACCAUUUAAAAGAUGCAUGUGUUCUAAUUAGUACUAGCUUGAUGUAAGAUAAGAAGUGACUUUUAGCAUAUUAACACUGGAGUGGAACUUGUUUCAGAGAUUGUAGUUAGAGGUAUCCACACAUAAUUGGUGAAACAAUAUGCAUUCUAAACAAGUAAAGUUUAACGUAGUGUGAAAGUGUUUCUCAUUUCUUUCUUGUUGGUGCAUCAUGUUAGGUUACAUGUUAAUUUCUUUAUGUUGUCCUCAUUGCUUUUUCAUAUAAUCCUCAAUCAUUCAGCACUUAGUUAAUUAUUUAUGGUUGAUGUAACUCAUCAACAUGGAGAAAUCAGAGUAGUUUAGAUGCUAAAAUGGUGCCACCGCCUAAUUUUUCAUUGUGCUCUAUCAAACUAAGCCAUUAAAUUUGGAAGGAUAGAAAAGUAAUAAAAUAUAGCAAGCAACCAUCAAAUUUAUAACAUUCUGUAAUAUCCAAAAUGCUUCAGAAACUUCCACAAGUUCCAAAAAGCUCAUUCAAGCUAGCAAAGAAUGUGAAAAGUCUGGACUACUUGGAUUGUUGUGUUCAUGUCAUUUCAUUUUACUAAAAUGUAUUUUAACACUUACCAUAAUCAAUGAAGUUUAAAUUUGGACUCUCCUAAGUUUGUUGGACGGUAAAAGUAUUUCUAUUAGUUAAAAUCUUAUAAGGUGUUUUUGUUUCUUAUCUUUAUCACUUUUCUACCUUUGCGUAAUAGUAAUUACAGACAUUAUUGAAACGUAAAACUGAAUGCUUGAAGUAUGAAUGAUAGAGAGAGGAGUCUAGUAGUUUAAGUAAUUCGAGUUCAAGCUAAGGAUCUCUAAAAUGAACAAUAAUUUGUUUUUUCUAUCUUCAUUUUUUAUUGUAUUUUCUCUGUGUAAAUAUAUGAGCUGGCGAUAAUUUAUUGAAAUUUGAAAUUUCAGCUAUGCAGAUUAAAUUCCUUACACUAUUUGUGUUUGUUCAAGAAUUUUUUUCUCCAACGAUAGCUCUCGGGGUGGUGUAUACAUAUCUCCCUUCACUAUAUGAGUUGCUUCACGUUAUUUCUUGAAUACCAAAUUUUACAUACUUUAAUUGAAUAAAAGUUUCUCAAUCGAGAAAUCCUCUGUGGCUAUGAAGUCGUUCUGCAAGCGCUCGGCUGAUUGCUUGGAGAUGCAUUUACUGUCCUUUGACAUAAACAUGAGGAAACAUAAGAUCUUUCUUGGAUGCAGGUAAGUUCCUUUAUCAUUCAAAGAUUAGAAAAAUGCAUGUUCCUUUUUGUUCAAUUUUCUAUCAUUUUUUAUCCAUUUGUGUAGUAUGCAGUGCAUUUUAUUCAACUACUGACUUACUAUUCUUUUUCUUUUUGGGUUUAGUUAUCCAUAUAUUGUUGUAUCAGGAAUCAAAGUUUUUUGUUUCUUUCUAUAUGACCAUUGAUAAAGAUUCUCCUUGAUCUUUAUCUUUUCCAUGUUUUAAAGCUUCUAGCGGUUGGAUGCAUAAAAUCUGAAAUCUUAUCUAUGCCUGGUAUUUUUGCCUUGUUUCAAGACCUUUGAAAACAUUUCUGCAGUGAUGUAGACGAUUUCAUUUGCCUUUAAACUGUGUGCACUGGUUCAAAUUCUUGGUGAACUAUUUGCAACUUUGAGGAUACUGUCGUUAUCAUUUGAAGUAUCACGUGUACAGUAGGUGCACUGGACAAAUUCUUUUCUAAUUUAAAGGUUCUUAAAAAUGCUAGAGAAACGUCUACUCUGUAUAGAUAUCUUCUACAACCAAGAUAUCUUCUUAUAAUGUGAUGUACAUGAAAUAGAGUGGCACUUCUUAUUUUUCAAGAAGAAUAUUGUCAAGAUAAAAUAAUAUAGUUAAAUUAUUUUGGUUUAGUAAUGUUUCUUACAAAUCUUUGUAAGCCCACCUGGUAAAAGUAGUUACAGUGAUCCCGCCAAGCACAUGCUCCCUUUCUUUGUAAUUAGUAGAGAAUAGGUACCUAAAAUACAUGUUGCAAAUUUAUAAUGAGUUAAUUUCAGCACAUGCAUGUUUUAUUUUACUUUGCGCAUUAAGCCUCUUUUUGGCACAGCAAAUACAUUAUUAACAGUUAAGUACAAUCUAUAUGUUUAUUGAUUAUUGUCAAUUGUAUUUAUGGUUUGUUAACACUUAGUGCACUGCUUACUAGGUGUUGCAAUGUCAGUGCCAUGUAGCUUAUCAAAUGGUGUCAUCUUAAUGUAGUUUUAAUAAAACUGGCAUGACAGCAUUGCAGAUGUUUUUGGAUACUCAAGCAGUAAAGACUAUUUUGCUGGAAGGUCCUUCCCUCUGAAAACAAAUAGUAGGAGCUGCUAGCUAUUCAAAAUUUGUCAGUUGUGAGAUGACCAAAGCAGAAGCGUUAUUGAAGGUCAUACUGUCUCCAAUAGAUUCUGCGGCGGAUACAUACUGUGUGCAGGUGCCAGAGGGAACGCUCUCAGAGUUUCAACGUCUUUUGGAGCUAAGAUUAAGAAUUUGAAAGUUGAAGAACUGACUUGCACCUGAAGAGACUGAAGCACAAGUAUGAGCAAGUGAAAAUGAAAGAACAAGUUGAAGCGCAAGACAAACCUAAUUUCUGUUUUGUUAGGAGUUAUUUGAAGAUGUUCUCAUUUGUACAUGCAACAAUUUUAUUCUCUUAUAUUAGUAGUUGAUACUAUAAUGUCAUAUAUUUUUUGUAAUGUGACGCUUUAGUUCUUUGUAAUUGACUAUAUGAAAUUUUAUAUGAAUAAUCGCAAUAU